GCUUAGUCACUAAAAUAAAAUAAUGGUAAAUUUGAUCAUGUAUACAUAUGCAGUCAUUUCUCAUAUGCACACUGAUUUUGAGAUCUAAUUUGAUUUAGUGAAGUGUUCUUGGAUAUAUCCCAUGCUUUCUAGGCCAAAUUGGUUUUGUAUGGAUAGUGUUCUAAUAUAUUUUAGUGGUUAUAUUGGUAUAGAGAAGCAACCCAUGAAAUGAGAACUGAGGUUGUGGGUGGCUCUGUAUUUGGCACAACCUCUAGACUACUGCAGUAGUCGUGGACAGACAUUGUACCACGAUCUUAAUGCUUACAGAGUCUUGUUUGAUAAGGUAAAAUUUGCAAUAUGUAAGUUAAGAUUUUCCUUCCAAAACUGAAUGUUUUGUGGUCUUCUAUUCAUUCACUAGCCAUACAGGAUGGGAAUCCUCUGCUCUCCUGCUUUGUCCAGAUGAAGAAUAGUCGAGAUGGCUAAAGUUACAGUACAAACUUAGCUUUCACUCCUCCAGAGUUCUCGAGAACUGGUAUAUAAUUGUGAUUUCUCUAUGAAGUGGUAAUAUUGCCCUACGAAUCUCUCAGUACAUGUGAAGUUGGAUACCAAGGUUACGAAGAUGCUCGACAAAUUACACUUGUAAUUUGCAUGCACAUCUGCACAAUUAGUGUUCUUCUUGAACUACUGUAUUAAGUUAUGGAAUAAACUACUUUGUACAAAUAAGAAAUGAUAUUAUAUAUGCAGCUACGUAAGUUUAACUUUUGGUAAUUUAUCUUCGAUGUUUGGCACGAAGAAUGACUUCAGAAAGUGUAGUUUAAGCUUUAUAACAAUGCUACUAGAUCUUCUAAGUGGCAAGCAUAUAGCCCCAAGCCAUGUGAGUUCAUAAUUCAUUGAAAAGUCCUCUGAUAUUCAAAUGUUCGGGUCAUCUUAUGCUUGCACCCGUUGAAUUCGCAAGAAGAUUUGAAAGUUUAUGAUACUUUCAUACCCGACAAGUUGAACUAUUCUUCUCCACUUGCGUUAUUAAUUCUCUCUUGUAUAUGUUGUAGUGGCAAGCUUUAGCUUAUGCAGCAAACGCAAGGAUAUGUUUUGCUGCAACUGACAGUUCUAGAAACAUACAUUUUGAAAGAUGUGAUUGCGAACGAAAUGCCAGAAAUAGAUCUUCUUUUGGAAGAAGUUGCUGAAUUUGUGGAUGAAUCUCAGUGUAAGAACCCAACUUACCAUAGGUAAUUGUUAACCCUGGACAUACGAGCACUGUACCACCUAUGUAUCUAUUAAUAUUAUUAACGAGGCAAAAUAAAGAAUAAAUUUUGGAGGCUUGAUACAUUUGGUUACAUAAAGAAUAUUACUUUCAUUGUCAUUAAUUAAGAUACAGAAUAACAUAUCAAGGAAUGCUAAGACUUCAUUAAAGAAGGUAAGUUUUCUUCAUGCAUUCAGUUUUUCUUUCAUUUCUAAUAUUCAUGCA
rnacentral:lncRNA from 1 species